GCCUUUCUAGCCAUCCCGCAUUAUUAUAUCCUUCGUUAACCCCAUUUGAGCCUAUAUCCAUUUUUUGUUUAAAACACCAUGAAUGUAACCAUUGGCCAAAAACACUUCCUCACCCUGCUUAGAGUCAUGAGAGUAUAUUCCAAUUGUGUUGAAAAGCUAAGUUUGGGGUAAAAACCCCAAAAGCUCUCAAAGCCCUAGAAAAGUGCAAAAACAGGAGAAAAAGAAAAAGUGAUGAAUCGAGAAAAAGAAAGAAAAAUAAAAAUAAAAUACUCGAUGAUUCAAAAGAAAGAAGCACGGAAAAGGGUAGUCGGUAAAAAUUCAAGAAAUAAGAAAAGAAAACCGAGGAAAUAAAAGAAGCCAACACAGGAUGUAACAUCG
rnacentral:lncRNA from 1 species